rnacentral:lncRNA from 10 species
AGUGUAAAGAGGUCCUGGGACAGGCUUUGCACGUUCCACAAGAGGAGCCCCAAGGUCUCAGCUGCCCACGCUCCCCAGUGUGAUGCCUACUCUAGCCAACCAAGAGGAGCACAAGCAAAGGAACUGUCCAUGGAUGAGGCAGAGGAGGAGCUGAGAGGAGCCAGCCUUACCAUUCUGACCACUGGGGAUUGUACCUCCUGAGCUAUAGUGUCUCGCUGUGUCGUCUAGACUGGAGUGCAGUGGUGUGAUCAUGGCUCAACUCCUAGGCUCAAGCGAUCCUCCUGCCUCAGCCUCCGGAGUAGCUGCUGGGACUGCAGGAACGUGCCACCAUGCCUGGCUCAAACACAAAGUUUUUUCAUAAAACUCACUUGGCGGCAAAAUUCUACCUUACCUGAAGUUAUUUACGGGGUUUUUAAUUUCCACUUUGAAUAAA